rfam:Taphrina deformans PYCC 5710, WGS project CATL01000000 data, contig: scaffold00007, organelle: mitochondrion
GGGCUUGUAGCUUAACGUAAAGCUCCAGCUUGUCACGCAGGAAGAUGCCCGUUCGCGCCGGGUCAAGCUCG